UUAGCGGCGCUUUUUAGCGCCACAAAAGGUCUUUGCGGCGCUUACU
rfam:Gossypium hirsutum cultivar TM-1 chromosome 19, whole genome shotgun sequence